CUGUAUGUUCUAUAGAGUUUUUGAAUGAACCAGUUCUCCGUUCUCUAGCUUCUCCUCCUCUUAGUUAUGCGAAGAUUCAAAUACCAUGUAAGCGUAACUUCUUCUAAAGAAGUUUACGUCUACGAUGGUUUAUAUAGGUGUUGGAGUUGGGUGUAAAAGAUGGUUCAUGAGUUGGGAUAAGUCAGCAUGUUCAAUGCAAUUCAGGAGGCAUACUAAUAUAUCGAAACAUUAAUUCUCCUGAAUCAACCCAAGACAUAUCCCAGUCUUCGCUUCCAUCAGCUACACUCUCUCCAUCGGUUUCCUGGGAUGGGGCAAGGAUCCCGAUACCAUUUUCAGUUUCAUAUGCCUUGUUCAAGUAUUUUUUUUAAAUAAUAAAGUAGAAACUGUAAAUUUGAGUAAUGUAAAUCCAUACAGAAGUAAAAUUAAUGUGUUUGUUCAAGUAUUUUUUUAUGAUUUUAUUGCUUUUUAAUGUGUAGCUAAAUUUGUUAG